rnacentral:lncRNA from 1 species
GUUUUCAAAAGACGAAGUUCAUCACAAAAAUAAUAAUCAGUUCUUAUCGUGAAAGUGGACUUGAACUGAAGCAAAGCAGAGCUCUCAUCAUGAUGGCAUAAGAAAUUGAAAGAGGAAGUGAAGGAUGGAAAAUGGAAGAAUAAAAGAUGCAAACACAGAAGCAACCACGCCAUGGAUGAUUGAUUUUGUUUCACCAAUGCAAACUCUGUGAAAAGGGUUAAUAGUUUACCUGAUUAAAA